UCAGAAUGAUGAAAUUGUUGCUUGUAUGUUUUUAAAUAAAACUUUGUUGGAGAUGUAAAUCAUUGUUUCAAAUCCCCAAACACCAGAGGUAUAAGGAAGAUAAUCCAUAGUUUACCCCUUUGAGCCUAGGAGUAGAACUUUCUUUCUAUACAAAAAACCCUCAAUCAUAACCAGGGGCAUGGUAGUUCUCAGUUAGUUUGACCAUGCGUUCAAAUUUCAAAAAGAGGAGUAUCC
rnacentral:lncRNA from 1 species